AUGUGUUUUAACUCCAGGACCAACACUGGGCUAUGAGGACAACAGGGAAGGGCUGGAUAACCUAGUUGUUUAGGGCAAUAUAGUGACCACCAAUGUGACCUUCCCAGACAGCCUGUCCAUAACACUAUGCCAGAGACUAAAUAUUGAAGAUAACGCAGACAUAUCUAACCAUCAGACUCUGCCUACAAUCCCCUCAUCCAUCAAGAUGUUAAGAGAUAUAGAUCCAACAGUGUUUACCAUCCAGAGAGGAGAUGCUCAAGCUGUGAAAGAGCUGUCAGUGACUGCACCACUCAGCCUGACGAAAGAGAACAAAGAAGGAUGAAUACCUUUGCAUGAGGCUGCAUAUUGUGGCCAAGCUGAAUAUAUAAAGGCACUGCUGAAAGCCCAACCAGGAUUAGUUGACAAGCACACCCUCUAAGAACAGGCUGCUCUCCUCCUGUCAUUUUCCGUGCAACAACUGUCAUGUGUGCAAUGCCUCCUACAGGCAGGGUCAGAUCCUGACAUCAGCAGCAAGAACAAAGAGACUCCCCUAUACAAAGGUACAGCACCCUACGUGGCUAUAGCAGGUACG